GUAUCCUUCUGCUUCAGUCCUGGUUAUGACUUCAUCCCUGGAACGUCAGCCAUGAAAUAAGUAAAGGAUAUGACCUCUGUUCAUCACAGGCAAAAGAGAUGCUCCUGUCCAAAGAGCCUGUGCCACAGCACCCAGCACUCUGAGCCACCCAGUCAGCAACCUCCAACCAGAAUAACAGCCUGACCAGAAGGACCUAGAGUGGGUAGAGGAAAUGUCUUCCUCCACUCCAGUUUGCCAACCAUUAAGGGACAGGAUAAAACUUCAUUGGCUGGAUGCUGCUUGCUCCUAGACUGCUGCAACUGAGAGAUCCUGGAUCCCUGACAGAGCUGGAAGCGGGCUCUAGUUGCAGCUUCCAGAUCUUCAAGGGCAGGACUGGAGGAUCCCCUCACUAAGGAAGCUCUCCCUACUUCCUGGAUGAAAAAACUGGGAAAUCAAGAACCCGUACUGGUGCCAGAGAACCUCUGCAGGCUCUUGGUAGAGAUAAGCUAGGGACACACUGGCUCCAUGGCCCUGAGUGCUGGGACAGGUUCCA
rnacentral:lncRNA from 1 species